AGCCUUAUAUUCAUUUAAUGAUAGUAGAAUGCAAUUCUAUUGGAGUAGUAAUAAUGUUGCUACUAAGGCUU
rnacentral:tRNA from 1 species